rnacentral:rRNA from 1 species
UACGGGGGGUGCGAGCGUUGUCCGGAAUCAUUGGGCGUAAAGCGCGUGUAGGCGGUCCGGUAAGUCCGCUGUGAAAGUCGGGGGCUCAACCCUCGGAUGCCGGUGGAUACUGUCGGGCUUGAGUACGGAAGAGGCGAGUGGAAUUCCUGGUGUAGCGGUGAAAUGCGCAGAUAUCAGGAGGAACACCAAUUGCGAAGGCAGCUCGCUGGGACGUUACUGACGCUGAUGCGCGAAAGCGUGGGGAGCAAACGGG